rnacentral:rRNA from 1 species
GCCAAACUUCUAGCCUCACAAACCACUAUAAAAAUUCACCAAUUUACUGUUUUACCUAAAACAUUUUUCUAAUUUAGUAAAGGCGAUAAAAAAAUUUCUCAGAGCAAUAUAAAUAGUACCGUAAGGGAAUGAUGAAAUAAAAAUGAAAUAGCUAUUAAGCAUAAAAAAGUAAAGCUUCUCCCUUGUACCUUUUGCAUCAUGGUUUAACUAGUCUUUUUUAGGCAAAAUGACUUUUAGUCUAACCCCCCGAACCUAGGCGAGCUACUUUAAGACAGCUUUUAGAGCCAACCCAUCUCUGUUGCAAAAGAGUGGGAAGAUCUUACAGUAGAGGUGAUAUACCAAACGAGCCUAGUGAUAGCUGGUUGCUUUAUAAAAGGAUUUUAGUCCAGCUUAAAGUUAUAUACAUAUCUUAACAAAUUAAACUUUAAGGCAAUUCAAAUAAGUUUCAGCCUAUUUGAAAAAGGAUACAACCUCUACCACUGGGUUACCCCAUACUAAAAAAUAAAGUAGGCCUAAAAGCAGCCACCUAAAAAAGCGUCACAGCUUACUCUAAUAAUUUUCAUAAUUUCUAAAACCACUCCCAACCCCUCACCCCCAAAAAGCAACUCUAUAAAUCUAUAGAAAAUUUUAUGUUAAAACUAGUAACAAGAAAUAGCCAUUCUCUUAAAUGUGCCCAUACAUCAAUACAAACCCUGUUGAUAAUUAACGUCUAUAAUCCUACAGUAAAACCCCCCCUUAGAAAACCCUACUACUAUUAACGUUAACCUAACACAAGAACAUUAAAAGAAAGAUUAAAAAAUAAAGAAGGAACUCGGCAAAUAUUAGCUUCGCCUGUUUACCAAAAACAUCGCCUCCUGACUAACUAUAAGAGGUCAAGCCUGCCCAGUGACAUUGUUCAACGGCCGCGGUAUCCUAACCGUGCGAAGGUAGCGUAAUCACUUGUCUUUUAAAUGGGGACUAGUAUGAACGGCUUCACGAAAGCUACACUGUCUCCUUUAUUUAAUCAGUUAAACUAAUCUCCCCGUGAAGAAGCGGGAAUACACCUAUAAGACGAGAAGACCCUAUGGAGCUUUAAACACCUUAAAACACUUGAAUUAUACCCCCUUGACACACUACAUUAAACCCAUCAUUUUGUUUUAAGUUUUAGGUUGGGGUGACCACGGAGAAUAAUCUACCCUCCACAUGGAAAGAAGCUUCUUUCUAAGCAAAAACCUACAUCUUUAUGCAUCAAAAUAUUUGACCUUAAUUGACCCAAUUACUUGAUCAAUGAACCAAGUUACCCUAGGGAUAACAGCGCAAUCCGCUUUGAGAGCUCCUAUCGACAAGCGGGCUUACGACCUCGAUGUUGGAUCAGGGUAUCCUAGUGGUGCAGCAGCUACUAAC